GUCCCAGUGGAGAAGAGCAGCUCACUCCUGCAGAUUAGAUCUGAGCCGGCCGCCACUCAGAAGAGUCGGUGGUUCGAACCCACCCUGGGACA